rnacentral:rRNA from 1 species
GACGAACGCUGGCGGCGUGCUUAACACAUGCAAGUCGAACGGAAAGGCCCUGCUUUUGUGGGGUGCUCGAGUGGCGAACGGGUGAGUAACACGUGAGUAACCUGCCCUUGACUUUGGGAUAACUUCAGGAAACUGGGGCUAAUACCGGAUAGGAGCUCCUGCUGCAUGGUGGGGGUUGGAAAGUUUCGGCGGUUGGGGAUGGACUCGCGGCUUAUCAGCUUGUUGGUGGGGUAGUGGCUUACCAAGGCUUUGACGGGUAGCCGGCCUGAGAGGGUGACCGGCCACAUUGGGACUGAGAUACGGCCCAGACUCCUACGGGAGGCAGCAGUGGGGAAUAGUGCACAAUGGGCGGAAGCCUGAUGCAGCAACGCCGCGUGCGGGAUGACGGCCUUCGGGUUGUAAACCGCUUUCGCCUGUGACGAAGCGUGAGUGACGGUAAUGGGUAAAGAAGCACCGGCUAACUACG